UCUGCUAUAAAAUAGAAGCUGUCGACAAUAAUCAAGUUAAUUAUAAAAAAUAAGUUAACUCUGGAAUGAGAAUCCUGUAUUAUCUUACUGCUGCAGUAGACUUCUUUGCUUCAUUAACUAUCGGAUGGCAACCUAUAAGAGAAAUAUCUGCUGAGGGAUCAAAAAGACUUCUAUGGAAACUGAAUUUAUUAAACUGAAUACGCGUAGAGACUUCAAGGAUGUCAUUUUUGAGCCGUGUCAAGUGGCUCCGCCGGCGACUUGAUUGGUCCACGCGAUUGUCAAGUUGUUCAUUUGCGUGAUGGGCAGCAAGAGGACCUCCAAGACCAAGGGAGAGGAC